UGUCUCUUCCUGUGUUCAGUGUUGGUUCGUCUUUUGUUGUUGACUGUGUUCACCGGUGAGUGUGCUGUCUGUCCAAGUUCUAUUCGUUAUCCUUGAAAUAAAGGUAGAAUCAGUUUAACCUGCAUUUGGGUCCUGCGUCCUUCGCUCUACCGUAACAAUUAGCUGCUCUUGAGGGUUUGAUCUGCACUAGCUUCAUCCUGUGUUGUGGGCUUUUUCCAAACAAAUCAUGUUCAGCUAAUGUUAUGUUUCAAAUGGAGAUCACAUGAUCAAUAUGAUUGAUUAUAAUCAAAGUGAAGUAGACCUCAUGGUGAGUUUUUUUCUAAAGACCUCAGCUUUUAAGCUAAAAUGUAUGAAAAUGUUCAGGAAAAAGGAUAUUCAAAUGAUCACCAUGACAACCGGGCAAACUCCAUCGGCUGAUUGUUUCUUAAGAACCUUACCCUAAAGGCUUAUGGAGGAAAGACCAGGCAAUGCAGUCAGGUAUUCAUGGCUUUGACCCCUUCCCUGGAAACGGAGAUAAGGUCCACUGUCCCUGCUGCUUGCGUCAAACUGAGAGGCUUGGUGGAAUAAUUGCUUUCAAGAUAGUUUUGACCUGGGACGUCCAGUCAAUAUUACUCACUUUAAUAAACUGCUGAUGCUCUACAUUUCAAAUAUGUUAAAAUAUAAUGUGUGGAUCUUGGUAGCUGUGGUGCUCUUAAGAACAAACGUGUGCACUGUUAUAAGGUCGGUCACAUAGCCUUCAGUCAUUUCAAACUGCCAUGCAAUGAGCCCUAUAUAAUAGGAUGUUAUCUAGCAUGGGUUAUCAAACACAUAUUGACCAGAACAACAAUGCCGCUCUUGGUAAUCUGACAUUUUACAAAACAAGUUGAUUGCCUAGAAUAAUUACUUCCUUCCCCAAACACAGUGCACCAUUGUAACAAUUUCAGCUGCAAAAAAGUGUUUCUGUAUACCACAAGUGGUCAAAGGAGAUGCGGCACAUUAAGAUGUGAUCUAGUUUUGGUCUAAGUUCUACUGUGUUUGUUGUUAAAGGAGCAUAUUGAUGUAUUUCCUCCCAGCUGUGAUGUGGAUUAAGAUAUUAAGUGUGAAUUCAUACUCCUUUACCUGUCGAUUAUUAUUUUGUGUAUUAUGUUCUCAUGUCUUUCAUUGUUGUUGUAUAGCUGCUGCCUGACUAUGCUCAAUGAAAGGCAGGUUUUCCAAUAAAAACAAUCUCAAAACAGAUGACACAUU